UACGUUCCACUCUCCCCUCCUCUUCCCUUGGGAGAAGAACCAGAACCAGCUACUUGCCCCGUCUGCAUUAUUAAUACAUGUUAAUGGCUCCAUUACAUCAAACUGACCUUUUUUCUCCUCUACUAUCUAAAAUGGGAAAAUAGAAAUAUUAUAUAUGUUUUGGGAUCGCUUCAUCAGUCUUGUAGGCUGCAAUAUGUGCUUUCCACCCCCCCCCCUUCCUUCUUGCCGUAUAGAUCUGUCAACCAAUAAGAAAUCAAUGCAAGGCAGUAAACAUCUGCAUUAUAGCAGGGUGGCAGACAAAGACUCCUUACCAUUAAAGCUGCCUCUGCACAUAUAGGAUGGUGAAGUACAGCAAAAAAAAUAUCUAAGGGUGGGGUGGAGGAAGCAGAUUCUUUAUUGAAAGAUGCAGCAAUGUGAGGAUGGUGUGACACGCAUAGCAGCAUGCAAAGGGCUGAUAAGAAGUUAAAACGCUGAUGCUCCGACUGGGAAAUCAAGGGAGAAGGCGAGAGAUUGCUAGAAUGGUGAAUCCUCGUUGUGACUCGUGCACACAGCUGGUUUGCUCUCUGCUGAGAUGCUGAUUGCGGUUUGCCUCAAGAAAACAGAAGAAUGUCGCUGAGGUUUCCUAAGGAUGCUUGCUGGCUUUCCCACCCCUUUUCUUAUUAUUUUCUUUAAAUUCAGGAAUUCCGUGAAGGGACAUUCAGACUCGAUUGAGGUUGACUGCUGGAAAAUUAGUUCUCUACAGGAGGUACCAGAGCUGAAACAAUUUUAUUGUCCUCUUAAAGGAUGAAAGACUGGCUCGGAUACCUUGCAUUAUGCAGGCAAUGCUUUGACUUUCGCAGGCUACUAGGUAUACAGAACCCUCUGCUCAGCUCUGGGACACAAGCAGCAGAAAUACGUGAACCUUACUGGAUUCAGACUUCACUCUGAUAACAGAAGGCUGCCUACGCAGCAGGGGGGCAAUUGAAAGCAUAUGAAUCUGCACAACCUCUGUCUGCGGAAGAAGCAGGCACUUACUCGUCUUAACAGCACAUGCAAAAUACUAUAAAAGAAGAACACACAUCAUAUGAUAUGACUGCAUUCUGCUUUCCCUUAUCAAACUGACAGGAGGAUUGCAAGAUAGAACAUCACAAGAUCCAUCAUUUUCAGCUUUUUUAGAAGUCAGUUUGUGGCAUUUCCUUGUACAGAUUCUACAAAAUUUCCCCAAAGUGGAGAACAUAAAGGAAGAGGAUUUUAAAUAUUUUUAAAUACAUUUUUUGAGAACAUUAAAAAAAAGUAUCACUUUUAAUUUUAUCAGAUUUCUUCACUGUUUGCACAGACGCAGGCACAGAAAAAGCAAAUGUAAUACCAGUCAGAUAAGAAACUAAAAGAGGUGAAAAUGCAUGCUAUAGUAUGUUUAAAGACCUAUGUUCAUUAUUCUGGGUUAUAAAAACACUCAAGUGAUUUUUGAAUAAAAAUAUUAUAAGAAGGUAUAACAAAAUUAUACAGGGAGGUAUAAAAAAAUUGUAUAUAGAUUUUAAAAGAAAAAAAGCCACAGCAAAAUAGUAUUUUCCAUUCAUGUUUGAUGAAAAAUAAAAACCUGCGUAUGUAUCUCUCACACCUGUAAUGCAUGAUGCAGGACCAGACUAGCAUGUUUUCUAUGCCAAUUUCUAUCACCAGGCCACACCCUGUUGAGUUUUUCAUAUUAGUUCAGUGUGACAUUAUGGCAUUUUCUUUUUACAGCAAUCAUGUGAAAUAAUGCCAUAAUAGUUAUAUUUUAUCUCUACACUUUAAAAAAAAACAUCAGCAAUUUCAUACUUCAAUUUUUAAUAUGUAUUAAUAUUAUAUAUAUAAAACAGUUUAUAUAUUUAGAACACAGUGAAAAAAAAAGAAAAAGUACUUCUGCAAAGUACUAAAAAAUUUUUUUUCUACAGGUAUAGGCAGUCUUGUAAAACGAAAAUUUUGGACCUAAAGUUGUGUUAAAGCUUUUUUUCUUUUUGAUAGCUUAGCUAUCAUAAACUAAAUAUUAAUGGUGUACACAUAAGCUGUCACGCCUGUCUAUAAGAUAGAAUGCUAGCACAGCCUGAAAAAGGUAAAGUUAAUUUACUUAACUUAAAAGUUUUUGGUAAUUAUUUUCUAUAAUACAACUGUAUAGGCUUAUUUUUUUACAGCUCCCUGAACAUUUUAAUACUGAUAUAUAUUUUUUGUAUUGCAAUUUAGUGAUGCAGUUACUAAAUUAAGUUCAUGUAGUUCUAAUUUCAAUAUCCAAAGAAAUAAACUAGAAAUUAAAUUAACAAGUAGGUACGUUUUCAUAUAUUUAUCUAGAAAACGCUAGUAUGAUUAUUCUAUUGGUCUUGGCAGGUGCCUUAGACCGAAUUAUUUCAUACAUUUGUGAUUUGUGAUUUUAAAACAUCAAACAUAUUUAAUAAGUGCAAUUAACAGUUUGAAAAUUAUACAAACUCUGCUAAAAAUAUUAAUAAAGAGGUAAUAAUGACCAUGGAAUCUUUUAGAUCACAACAAAGUCUUAUACAAAAUAUAUAUAUUCAUGAAAAAUAAAGAAGUGUUUUUCUGUAAAAAAAAAUAUUAAAAGCAAUAGAAAACUUUAUUUCAUUACUGCAAGAAAAGAGCAGCAAUUUUCAAUGUUUCAAAAGUAAGAAAUGCAUUUGAAUGCAAUAAUCUAGAAUACAUCUCAUACAAAAAAUGUUAAAUAAGAUCAUCAGCAAUCCUUCUAUAAAAAUUGAAAGUCUGCAGAUUUGAAAAUUAAAGUUUUAUGUGCUACAUCUAAUACAUAAUUAAUAUUCUGAAUAUUUAACUAAAAGUAGUGUUCACUUUACCUGAAUUUUUUAACAACAAUAUCUCAGGAUUACAAUAGGCAUUGUGUUUAUUGAAAGCCACUUGUCGCUUUUUUUUCUUUUGCUAAAUAAGAAUGUAAUAGUAGAACGCAAUAAAUAAUUUUAUCUUUUAA